UACGAAGGGUGCAAGCGUUAAUCGGAAUUACUGGGCGUAAAGCGUGCGUAGGCGGUCUUUUAAGUCUGCUGUGAAAUCCCCGGGCUCAACCUGGGAAUGGCAGUGGAUACUGGGAGGCUAGAGUGUGUCAGAGGAUGGUGGAAUUCCCGGUGUAGCGGUGAAAUGCGUGGAGAUCGGGAGGAACAUCAGUGGCGAAGGCGGCCAUCUGGGACAACACUGACGCUGAGGCACGAAAGCGUGGGGAGCAAACAGG
rnacentral:rRNA from 1 species